UAGCCUAGUGGUUAAGGCUAUGGAUCGCCAAUCCUGAGAAGGCGGGUUCGAUUCCCGU
rnacentral:tRNA from 1 species